AUGGCUAAAAGCACCAAAAGGUCGGGAUCGUUGGGAAAUACGGGACCUGCUAUGGUGCCUCCCUCCAGAAAAUGGUAAAGAAAAUUGAAAUCAACCAACACACCAAGUACACUUGCUCCUUCUGCGGCAAGACCAAGAUGAGACAAACCAUGGCAUCUGGCACUGGGUUCCUGCAUGAAAACAGUGGCCAUUGGGGCCUGGACCUACAACACCACCUCUGCAGUCACAGUGAGGUCGGCCAUCAGAAGACUGAAGGAACUGAAAGACCAGUAG
rnacentral:lncRNA from 1 species